GGAGGAGUCGCCUAGCUGGUCCAUGGCGGCGGUUUGCUAAACCGCUGAGUUGAAUAGACUCACGUGGGUUCGAAUCCCACCUCCUCCGCCA
rnacentral:tRNA from 1 species